rnacentral:sRNA from 1 species
GCUGGGCUUGGUGGCUCAUGCCUGGAAUCCCAGCGACUAGGGAGGCUGAGGCAGGAGGAUGGCAAGUUCCAAGCCAGCCUGGGCAACUUAGCCAGCCCUGACUCAC